CCAAAAAAAUUUUGUUUGUUGUUUUUGAAAGGAGGAUGCUUCAUUUGUAGUUGGUGACAAAGUUGCCUUUCUUUUUUCUGUUGGAAGACUGACAAAGUUGCCUUUACCAAAGAAGGAUGAUAUUGAAGGAGAGAGCAUUUCAUUAUUAGGACAAAACUCUCAUUCCAUCUUCACAAGGUCUUACCACUGUGGAGUCUGGACAUGUCCAUGAGAACCAGAAUCCAACCAGAGAAGCCUCACUUCUUCAAGCCUAUCCUUCCAGGCUUCAUAGAUGGAGUGAAAAUUCCAGCAUCUUUCUUGAAGUAUUUAGGUGGAAAGAUAUCUGAAAAUCAGGCAGUAUUGCGAAGGGGUGGUGUUAAGGAAUGGAGGGUAGAAAUUAGUGACCAGUGGCUGAGAGAAGGCUGGAGAGCAUUUGCUGUGGAGAACAACUUGCAGGUGGGAGAUUUUGCAGUGUUCGAACAUGAAGGAAAUAUGGUGUUCGAGGUUUUGGUUUUUGACCCUAGUCAUUGUGAGAGAGAAUAUGCAUCCAUUGAUGAUGAGACAAAGUGCUCCAAGAAAUUUAAAGCUGCAGCAACUGAAGAGAUUCCAAGAAGCAAGAAAGUUAAGUUGGAACUGUCUGAUGAUCAAGAGGAACCUGAUUCUACUGAUCAAAUUUGCCAUCCCUAUUUUAUCUUUACUGUCAAGCCAAUUAACCUUCUGUAUCACCGAUUGAACAUUCCCAGGGAUUUUGCGAUGGAGAACGGUCUAUUCGGCAGAGAAUGCAAUAUAAAGCUAAGAGAUCAAAGCCAAAGGUCAUGGAGUUUAAAGAUAAAAUCCAGUAGCGACUGCGCUUCCAUUCAAUGUGGAUGGAAAAGUUUCGCAAAAGCACAAGGGCUGAAGGAGGGAGAUGAAUUCGUGUUAGAGCUCACUGAAAAUGGAGAGGCGCCUGUCUUCAAUUUCUAUGGAAAAGACAAGGCAUCAACUCGAAAAUCAGGAAAGGAAGUCUCUUGGCGUGAUGAAGAACCUGUUAAUCCUCACUUUACGUCAACAAUAGAACCUCAUUGCAUCAGACGUUGUAUAUUGGUGAGCCUUUUUGUCUCUUGCCACAAUCCAUUUCUAUGGCACGCUAUACACUACAGUUGCAACAUACCUGGCAAUCCAAUGCAGUAUCUCCCAAUGAAGUUCGCGAGAUCAAAUGAUUUAAGCAACAGAAGCUGCAAAUUGAUCCUCAAAGAUCCAAAGAAAAGGUCAUGGCAUGCAGAACUCAACUCAAGAGGCAGCCGAGUUUGCAUCUCUUUUGGCUUGGACGAGUUCUUUACUGCAAAUGACCUAAAGGAAGGAGACACUUGCAGUUUUGAGCUUGUGGAAAAUGGAGAAACACCUGUUAUUAACUUUCUUACACGCUUGACAAAAGAUGAUCAGCCUCCACCACAGCCCGCCACUGAUGAUCAUUCUUACUUCAUCUCCACAAUCAAGCCUUAUAACAUCAAAAGUUGUGUACUGCAUCUACCAGUGAAGUUUGCUAAACCGAAUGGUUUAACCAAGCUGAAGGGAGAAAUGAUCGUCAAAGAUGACAGACAAAGGCUGUGGAAAAUAAAAUUGAAGGACAGGGGAGAUAGAGUUGUGCUUUCAAGGGGAUGGAGUAAUAUCUCCAGAGCAAAUGGCCUUAAAGUUGGGGACAGGUACAAGUUUGAGAUCAUCAAGAAAGGAAAGAGACCUGUGGUGAAUUUCCAUUUUGUAUACUCUUCACUGAUUGCUAGGAUGCCCAGUUAUAAAUUUUAGAAGAAGAAUGAGAAAUGCUACUGAAUGCUUAACCAACCCUUUGAACUCGCAAGUAAGUUUCUGAAAUCUGAAGAGGACAGCCCAGCUUUAACACCAAAUUGAUGAUAAUUGACAAUUACACCCAACCUUCCAACUUCCAAGCACAGUAUUGGCACAGCCCAUCAUUUCUGUAACACCGUGCUUUCUUCAUUUCUGAUUUCUGCUUUCAAGAAAUCAUUAAUUAUGUGCUUUUCACUCGGGCUACUGCUGAAUUAUGUAAAAGCAUCAUUUGUACCAUUGGAUGAUUUUCUUUACCUGGAUAAGUUCACAUUCUGUUUAGGAAAUGAGGUAAAA